CCUACGGGGGGCAGCAGUGAGGAAUAUUGGUCAAUGGACGAGAGUCUGAACCAGCCAAGUAGCGUGAAGGAUGACUGCCCUAUGGGUUGUAAACUUCUUUUAUAUGGGAAUAAAACGUUCCACGUGUGGGAUUUUGUAUGUACCAUAUGAAUAAGGAUCGGCUAACUCCGUGCCAGCAGCCGCGGUAAUACGGAGGAUCCGAGCGUUAUCCGGAUUUAUUGGGUUUAAAGGGAGCGUAGGUGGAUUGUUAAGUCAGUUGUGAAAGUUUGCGGCUCAACCGUAAAAUUGCAGUUGAAACUGGCAGUCUUGAGUACAGUAGAGGUGGGCGGAAUUCGUGGUGUAGCGGUGAAAUGCUUAGAUAUCACGAAGAACUCCGAUUGCGAAGGUAGUUCACUGGACUGCAACUGACACUGAGGCUCGAAAGUGUGGGUAUCAAACAGGAUUAGAUACCCGUGUAGUC
rnacentral:rRNA from 1 species